ensembl:snoRNA small nucleolar RNA SNORD108
GCUUGAUGAUCAGAUUCAUUGUUUCUUGAACCUGAUAGCAGUGUUCAUUCCUAAAAGAGAAUGUGGGGUU